rnacentral:rRNA from 1 species
GGAAGUGGGGAUGACGUCAAGUCCUCAUGGCCCUUAUGGGUAGGGCUUCACACGUCAUACAAUGGUCGGUACAGAGGGUUGCCAAGCCGCGAGGUGGAGCCAAUCCCUUAAAGCCGAUCGUAGUCCGGAUCGUAGUCUGCAACUCGACUACGUGAAGUCGGAAUCGCUAGUAAUCGCAGAUCAGCAUGCUGCGGUGAAUACGUUCCCGGGUCUU